AGGCUGAGCUCCCGCUCCAAGGGACAGCAGCUGAGGAGACCACCCAACACCAGCUGGGCAGGAAUUAACAUUGUGUUUGGAGCUGGACACAGCUGGAGCCCAACCCAGCCCCCUCAUUUUACAGAUAAGGAAACUGAGGCCCCGUCUGAGGUCACACAGGGAGAAAAGCCGUCAUUUUAACCAGGUCCUUUGGCUCUGCAUUCUCAUCAUGCUGCCCUCCCUGAGGGGAAGGAGCUACUGCUAGAAUGCAGGUGGCAGGGAUGGGUCCCCAGGGCCUAGCUGUGGCCAUUCUGCUGGGGCUGGUGGGAGCCGGCCUGGCCUCUGAGAAUGGAACAAGGAUCUGCCAGCCAGCCCCAAAGUGGCAAGUGGAUGGAGGUGUGUCCCCCAUGGAGGAAGCCCUGGGCCAAGUGACGGUGGUGGCCCUCCUGAAGGCCAGCUGACAAUUCUGUCUCAAGCAAGCUGCCAGCAUAGGCAACUUGCAGGAGCGCCUGGCCCGGGCAGGCAUUCCCCAUGUCCACUUCCUCAUAGUCAACGAGAAGUCGCCCCUGUCCCAGGCUCUGCAUGGGGAGCUGGAACUCCACGCGCCCCAGGGUGUACCUGUCUACGGCCAGCAAGGGCCCGGCCCUGACAUCUGGGGCAUCCUCAGGGGGGGACAAGGAUGAUUUCCUUAUCUAUGACAGGUGCGGCCGCUUGACUUUCCACAUUCAGCUGCCCUUUAGCUUCCUGCACUUUCCCUAUGUGGAGUCAGCCAUUCGCUUCACCCACCGGCAAGAUCACUGUGGGAACUGUUCUUUCUACUCUGCCCAGGUGAACAGCACGAACGAGGGGAAGGCUGAGUUGUCCACUCAGUCCCCAAGCCUAGAAGGGCAGGAGCCUCUGGGUGAGGGUCCCGGCACCCACAGGCUGACUCCGUUGUCCAGCACCUUUCCCACAGCCCAUGCCCGCGAUCCUGGCCACAGCCAUGGCAAGGAGCCAUUACCCAAUCCUCCUGUACACAGUCUAGAGCAGCCCCGAAAUGAGGAGAACACUGAAUAAGGCCCUGCUCUACAGGCUGGGCCCAAGGUCACCAUCCCAGCCCCCAACCCCACCCUCUGUCAACCUGGCCCCUGAGUCAGCGAGAAGAAACCAAGGCACCACGGAGUCCAGGUCUUCCUUGAUCUCGUGUGUCUCCAUCAAGGCUGUGGCCUUGCCCACCACCCUUCCCUCUCUCAAUUAAUGAUGCCCACAGUGAAACCCGGAGAGCCGGCCAUGGUGGGCUGAUGCUGCGUAGAGAGAGAGGAGGAGUAAGGAAGUCUUCAUCGUCCAUACCCAGGCAUAAACGCAAGCCAAGAUGGGGCACCACCAGACCCAACACAACUGUUCAGAGUGGGUGGGGGGCUUGGGAAAAUGGCCAAUAAACUCCUCUAGCUGCCCAAAA